rnacentral:lncRNA from 1 species
UUUUUUUUUUUGUGAUUUUCAAUUGUAAUUCCUUAACUUUAAACUUUUUAUAAUUUUAAAGUUUGUUUCGAUAGAUGGUAAAAAGAUUUGUUUAGAUAUAAAAAUAAUGAUUUUUAUUAUAUUUAGUAAUAAUUUAAAUUUUAAAUUAUUUUUUUAAAGAAAAGUAGAAAACUAUAUUAAACUUCAAUAAACUCAAAUAGAGGAGCAAAUCACACGACACUAUAAGUGUCUUUUUGAUGCAAUUCAAAAAAUAUAUAUAUAUAUAUAUUUAUUUUUUAUUUUUUUUAUUUUUUUUUAUCAUUUUCUAUUCAUAUCUUAAAAUUUUCAUAACUAAUGGACACCAAGAAAAUUCCAAAAAUAUUUUGUACAAUGUGCGACUGCAUGACAUGCAUUUAUUUUACUCAUAUAAGUCUUUUAUGUUUGUGCAAUUGUGUUGUCACUGUACACAUUCACGUGUGUCGUGUCUUUGUAUAUUUGAGGGUCCGGAGAGGCUAGUGCAUGCAUAUGUGUAGAUAUUAUCUAAAUUUUAAAUAGACAGAAAAAUUAAUUUUCGAUAUACUCCUGAUUUAAUAAAGAAAAAAUAUGUAUUUUAAGUAGUUUAAAAAAAAAAGAAAUACAAAAUUUGGAAUCAUAAUUUGAUUUGGACUCAGUUAUUUUAUUUAGGAUUCUCUACAUCUAUAAAUAGUCCAUAGAAAUAAUUAUUGGGGGAUUAAUCAUAGGGCAUCAAGUAAAAAGUUGUCAAUACUUUUUAGGGUUCCUUUCUUCUUCUUUCUGUUCUUAGAGAUUAGUGGCUAAAGCCCUUGUUCUAGGGCUGUAGCUACAGAUUCAAUGAUGAUUAUUAAAGGCUUUAUGAAUUAAUUUUUGGUUGUCAUUAUAAGUUACUUCUAUAUUCUUAUUUUAGUAUUUUGUGCUUGAUCACCAUGAGAUAAAUCUAUUGUCUAAUCUUAAAAUCGAGAGAGGAGGGAUUAGAUAGAACAGAGAAUAUAGAGAGCUCGGUCCACCCAUUAAAUUGAGGUGAUUAGUGUUUAGGAGUGACGCCUAGACGAACACCUUGCUUGGUUACGAAAUAGGAUGAAAUAUAAAUGCUCGUCAGUUAGUCUAUUUAUCCCCGCUCAACGACGUAGUUAGAUAGCUAACUAGGGUAGGCGACGAGAAGCGUAUAACCCGGAUCAUAUCAUCAACCCUAUAAACCAAUAACUUGACAACUAAAAUUAAUUCUAAGCCAAAAAUAUGAUACAUGAAAUCCAAUACAUGCUACAGCCCUGGAAUUUUCCAACUAUUGUAAGUAAUUUUAUUAUUUUGUUCUUGCAUUCUUCUCUUUUUGGCUCUCUUAAAUAAAUAAUUAGAUCAAUAUAAUUUAGUAAAAAUAGUUAAUUGACAAGUCCUUUGGGUUCGAUAAUCUGGUCUUUUUAAGAGCCACUAUAUUACUUGCGUGACCGCGUACACUUGCGUGUGCAAUUGGGAGCAACACCUAUCCCAUCGUAAGGCGAGACAAUGUUUCAACUAACAACUAACUCUGCCCUUUGCCUUAAUUCGCAAUCUUCAUAUUUUCUUAUUUAAGGUCGUGUCCUCGAUAAACUGAAGAUGCGUCAUGUUAUGUCUAAUCACCACUCACCACCAAUACUUCUUCGGUCUCCCUCUAUCUCUCCUAAAAUCAACCAUGCAUUGCCAACCCUCCACACCUUGUCACGGGACAUCUACUCUUCACAUGUUGAAACCAUCUUAGUCUUGCUCCCUCACCUUGUCACUCUCACUUUGUCUCAAAUAUCCUGAUUUAUGAUCCUAUAUCUCAUAGUGUGCCCACACAUGUAUUUCAACAUCAUUAUUUUCGUAACUUUCAUCUUCCGGACAUAAUACUCCACUUCAAAUAAAAUUAUAAAUUGAGAAUAGCCAAUUAAUACUUACGACCUAUUGGUUGAUAUGACACAAAAAACUUUUGAUACUUAUCAAAUAUAUAUGAUCAUAAUUAAAAAAUAUUUAAAAAUUAAUUUAAUCAUCUAAUUAUAAACUUAGCUAAACUCUCUCCAAAUUACAUCUUGGACUAAAUAUUGAAGCAAACAAUAUAUGCAGUUGAAAAUGCUGUCCUCAUAAUUUCCUCUUUUAAUAUAUAAGGAUAUUCAUAACGUCAUGCACAAUGGCCUACUUUGUUAACAUUCAAAAUCACAUAAAAAAAAGUGGUCAAUUUUAACGCAUAUAGGAAAAAGCAAUAAAUAAAUAUGUCAAGAUAAUUUUUUUUAUUUUAUCCUCAAAAUUAAUUAAUAUAAGUAGUGCAAUUAAAUACUCAUAUUGAUCAAAAAGUUUAUUAUUAAUCUCUAGCUAGUAGUCAAAAGUCUCACCAAAAUACUCUAUUUUUUGAAAAAUAUUUCACUUACCAACUAAACACCAAAAAAAAAAUAUUUUUAUAAAAAAUUGCUUUUGCAAUAAUUAACUGUCCUUUUUUAAUAAACCAAUCAUGCAAAAGCCUGAACUUACAUAAUUUACAUAUCUUUCUAUUGUCCCAAAAUACACUUUGAAUAUCUAAGUUUGGUGUAAAAACAAAAUUCUAGAACAAACCCAACUAAUGUUCCAACUUUUUUGGUAUAUUUCUAGAAAGAAAAAAAAAAACAAAUAAACCAACUAGGCCCCUACUACUACUUUGAAGCAGAUCCAGUAUUUUGGAGUCAAUGGGAACAGAAUAUCAAUGCAUUUAUUAUUAAAAUUUUGUCAAACAAAGGGAUUUUUAUAUUAUAAUAUAUAUUGAUUAUACAUUUAUUUUAGACUGAAUAUAUAUUGAUGAUAGUUCGUGAGGAUAUGUAUUACGGUAAAAGAUUAAUAGGUAGCAAUAUGUUGUCUUGUCAUCUUUUUCUAUUGCUCAUGUACUUUCUUAUUCUUCGAUUUUUGUUAUAGUUUGUACUUUGAUUAUCAUAUUAUUUUAUUGUAGUUACUGUCUUCAUACAAGUUGUUUUAUAUGUUAUGUCUCAUACUUCUAUGGAAUAUUAUCUUUUCUAGACUUUUUAGACUAGUUUUUCCACGAGUCAAAAAUUAUCAAAAAUAGUGUAUUUAUUUUUGUAAGAAUAAAGUUUGCUUACACUUUAUCUGUCAUACUUCACUUUAUAAGAUUAUAGUGGCAUGUCAUUAUUGUUGAGUAUAUAUUGAUGAUGGCUACUAAUAAUUAUAAUUAAGCGGAUGAAUUUGUCUUUUAAUCAGCUGACUUAAAGAUAUUAAGAUCCCUAAAAUAAACUGUGUCAGAAGCGAAUCCAAGUUUCGAAGACUUUGAAUGUACCAAUAUAAGCUCUAGGCUAAAUUUAAAAAAAGAAAAAGAAAUAAGCACUAGCCAUGUGGGUGAUUUUACUAUCUUGUGCUAGCAACACAAGGGCACUCCUUUGCUCUUUAUGGAUGCAUUGUUAAUUAUAUCCUACUUUCCGUCAUUUUUUUAAGAUAGAUAUAUAGAUAUAUACACAUGAUUUUUUUCAAAGUUAAUGAAUGGACGUACACCUUUACUAAACCAUGUGGGUCCACCUCUGCUUAGUGUAACCAUAUAUAUAUUUCGCUUACAAGGUAUGAUUUAGUAGUCACUAAAAUGAACGCAUGACAUCGAGAUUAGGAAUUAAAAAAAUAUAUAUUCAGUGAUUUUUCCUAUUAAAUACUCAGUACUUAUUAUAUUUUAUUAAGAAGUAGCAAAGAUUCGAUAGAAUAAUAGAUUAAAUGCAAAUUAAUUCAAACACUGCUAUUAUAAAAAAAAAAUUAUAUACAUUUACAAGAUUUAUUCAAUUAUAAGUACACUUGAAUACAAAAGAAAAAAUAAAAAGAAAAAAAUUAUAUAUAUUAAUGGUCCUCGUGAGGUUGGUGGUAUCUUUGAAUCUUCAAGAGGGAUAAUAAAUACUUAAAAUUCUAUACUCCACAAAAUUAAAUAAAUUUCUGAAAGUCAGAGCAUCCAAAGAUGAUUUUAAAAUAAGUUCACACUCCACACUACACACUGCACACUACACACUACACACCUAUAAUAAAAAUAUUCGUUCCGUCUCAAAAUACUUGUUAUAUUUUACUUUUUUUAAAUAAAAUUUCAAUAUAUAUUUUAAACCAUAUUAAAAUGAUAUUACAAUUUGUAAUACUUUUCAUUUAUUUUAUUAAUAUUUAAAUUCUAGCUUUAGAAUAUAAAAUUGAUUUAACUCUAAAGAUCAAUCACUCAAUUCACCGAUUUAGACUCAACUCCUCAAUUUACAUUAUCAGUAAUUUUGAUUCACCGAUUUAGACUCAAACUCCUCGAUUUAUAUUAGCGAUCAUAUAAGUCAAAUCGAGCCUCUAGAUUCUUUCUUAAUAUAUUCAUUCCAAAAGAAUGCAAACACUUCUUAAGUUGGGUCUCAUAUUUCUCUCAUAUACCAUAUUCGUAUCGUAUCACAAUGUUCUAUAUGAAUCCACUUUUUGAAGAAUAUUAAUUAAUUAACUCUUAAAAAAUAAAACAUGACAAUUAUUUCGCGAUGCAUGGAGUAAGAAAAGCAAAGAAAAACUAAACAAAAUUCAAAAAUGUUGGUAAAUAAUUUUUAAAAAUGUAUCCAACCCCCCACCCCUCCAAUCCCACCCCACAAAAAAAAGUGUAAAAAUAAAUAAAUAAAAAUUAAAAAAAAGUCCUUGAGGAAUGGGCUGAGCUGAGCAUAGCAGAGAUUAAAGCAUAGUACCAAAAAAAACAUUUUUAUUGUCAUUUCAUCUUUCAGCCUACUACUGAACUAACCUUAUUUCAGUUGCAAUAUUUGAAAAAUAUUUUAAAAAAUUAAAGUACAAUAAGAACAAGUUUUAGUUAUACUUCUUGUAAACAAAUAGUACAAGUAUAUUGCAAUAAUAAUAUGAAAAAUUCAAAAUUAUUUUAAAAAAAUCAACUUAAAGGAUUAGUAUCACUAAACCUUCUUGGAUUAAGCCUUUCUCCUGUUUUUGCUGGAUCUGAUUUACAUCUUGUAAGAAGUAAUGGAUGAACACAAGCUUUACUACUUUCUUCAUUAACGGAGCUCUGCAUUUCUUCAUUUCCAUGGCUUUUUCUCGAUCCUAAAUCACCAAUUAUAGGUUUUUCGAGAACUGGAGGAGGUUUUUCUUCUUCUUCUUCGUCCUCCUCCAGUUCUCGAAUAUUAUUUUGGGGAUUUUGACUGUUCAAUGGAGAACCCCAGAAUUUACUAGCUAAUGAUGAAGAUCUAUAAGGUGCUGAUCUACAUCGAGUCAAAAUCAAAGCAUUUUUCGGUGGAUUGAUAUGAGAAUCUGCAUAGCCAUUUUCAUUUUCUUCUGAUUCAGAAAUUGCAAUUUCGGCAUUUGUUGUAACAAUUUUUUGAACUUUUUGAGCUGAUUCGACUUUUUUUACACAAUACCCAAAUGGGAAACAACAAACCCAUUUCUUCAAAUUUGAAAUCAACGAUUUGGGUCUGUGUAAUUUAAUGAUUUUGCAUUGGAAUUUACAGCAGCAUGUUGUUGUUUUUGGGGUUUUCUUCUCUUCUAUUUGUUGAUGUUUUUUUGUGGUGUUAUUGGAGGAUCUGCGAACACGAACUUGACCUAUACAAGUGACUUUUGGGGAAGAAGGUUCUUGAGUUUUUUCAAUAGCGAUAUUGUUUUUGUUUUUGCGCAUAAACAUAGGGCUAGCUCGUGUUCUUGCUCUGCUGCUUUUGCUUCCAACAUUGCUUCUUAAGAACCUCAUUAAUGGCGGUGGAAAUUUCUCUGCUCGAUUAGGACUUGAAAUGGGUUUUGAAAAUAAACUCUUCAUAUUCUUAUGACUUUUUGCUCUCUUUGUGUGUGUAUAUUUUUGUUUUUGUUGUUACUUUGUGUGUUUGUUGUUGGAGUAAUGGAGAAGAUAGAGAAGGUGUGGUUUUGUUCCUUUGCCAUGUUUCUUUCUAGUUUUUCAGUUUUUAUAUGGUAUGGUGAUUAUGGAGUACAUUUUUUGUUUUCUUUUUCUUUAGGUAUUUGGUAUCCGGAUUUUUCCGUUUUUAAUUAGAGAUUUUAAAUUCAAGUCUUGUAGGAAGAAAAUAGGCAUAAUAUAUAAACAUGAUCAUUAACUUGACUUCAACGGAUAACUAUGUCCUCCAGCAUUAAGUGUGCACAAGUAGAUAUUUAAACUUGUAUAAAAUUGAAAAAGUAGACAAACUUGUCCUACAUGACAUAAUACACAUAGGAUGCCACGUAGGACACAAAAUUAUCAUGUAGGGUGCCAUGUAGGACGAAUGUGUCCAUUUGCUUAAUUUUAUACAAGUUUAAGUGUUUGCUUGUGCACAUCCAAAAUUAAAGGUCAUAAUUGCUAGCUGAUGCCAAGUUAAAUGUCAUAUUUAUGUAUUAUGCCAAGAAAAUAUUAUUGGAUGCACCGUUUUUAAAAAUAAAUUAUGUAAUGCGCAAAUCAAAUUCUAAGUCGAUUGAAAUUCAAUUUGAAUAGCUGAUGGGAAGCAAAAAAAAAAAAAAAAAAAGUGGUGGAGCUAAGUUAUGUGUUGAGGUGUGUGAGAAUCUUAGUAACUUGAUUGAUGAGGGUCGAUUUGGAAAAAAAAAAAAAAAAAAAAAAAAAGUGGUGGAGCUAAGUUAUGUGUUGAGGUGUGUGAGAAUCUUAGUAACUUGAUUGAUGAGGGUCGAUUUUUUAUUUUUUAAUCUCUUAUUCAUUUUUCCUUCCUUUAUUCCUAUUUUUGAAAAAAAUAAUAUUAAGGAGUGUAACCAACACUCAUAUUAGAGUGAUAUAAUUAACUCAUUAGUUCUAACUAGUCAAUAACUUGAAUAUUAUAUAAUUCAGCCUAUUUUGACCUGUUUGAGUUCAAAAUCUUUUAUUUUAUAUAUAUAACAAACAAGUAUAUUAAAUACAAAAUUUGAUAAGAAUCGAAUGAUUUAAAUUAUGAUGUAUUAGUUAACCUAUUUUGAUUUAAUUCAUUUCAUUGUAAGUAACUUUUCAAUAAAGUCAAUUGAUUACCUAUUUAUUGAUUCAGUUCAUUUUGACAAUUUUUUUUAUAUGUUUGUCUACUUGCAGUCUUAAUUCUUUUUUAUGAGCUAACAAAUGAAAACUAUUUUUUGAUAAUGAAUAACAAGGAGACCCGAAUACAUAAUCUACGUCUACUCUAUAUUAUAUUAAUAAGCUGAAAUAUAUAUAUAUUAAAUGUAAUCAUUUCAUAUAAAAAUUUAAAGACAUUAAAAAACACACAUUUUUAUUUAUUUAAUUAUAUCGUUAACCUAACAAAAUGGUAAUUAAAUACCCCUGACAUCAAGAAGCUUUAAAUAUGAUGGCAAUAUUGACACAACAAGAAUAGUUUAAACCGAACACUAAUUAGUAAAAAGUUUCAAAUAAAUUUAUAGAGUUUAAAGAAUAUUGGUUCAAACAAAUUCGAUAUCACGACAUUAUAUCCACUUCCGAUUAUACCAAAACCUUGAGAUUUCUGAUAAAAAACAAAAAAAGAAUAUUAACUAUCUUACCAAAUACUCUUGGUAAUUCUUGUGAUUUUUACUUAUAUAUUGUAUGUAAUAGAGUAAAAUGAUAUUGAGGUGGUGGGGUUUGGUGCAAAAUUUAUUGUUGUAUCGUACAAGUAAUAUCAACAGAUUUGAUCAAUAGUCAACACUCACAGAAUUAUGGUCGAGUGAUAAAUAUUUUUUUAUUUUUAAUUAGAAAUUUUGAAUUUGAGUCCUCUUUAUUAUAGAGUCAUCUCUGUUAGAGUGAGUUUCACCCCUCAUACGAAUUUUUUCAAUGAAAAUUUAUAUUUAAUCAAACUUCAAUAUGAAUAUUACUCUCCGAGAAAAAAACCAAAAAAAGAAAUAUUAAAAGUUGUGCACGUUUGGCUGAAUAAGACAAGUAGAUUUUUUAAUUGUAGCUUUGUUUCCUUUCUUUUGGCUUUAUACUUUUCUUCACCACAAAAUUUCUUGGUUUUGGCAAUUUCCAACUUUUGUAUUCUUUCUUUUCAUCUUUUUCCCUUACACACAUUUAAAUUUUGUGGGGGCACAUUUAUUUUUAUAGCUAGUAGUAAAACAAGAGAAAAAGAAAUGUUGAAACUUGUAGGGUUUUGGUACAUUAAUUAAAAGUUUGGGGUUUUUACAUAAAUAGUCUGUCAAAUUUAUUGUUAAGUAUUUUUUCUAGCUUGUAUAUAUAAAUCAUAUACUAAUUUUACAUAAUUAUAAAUAUAUUAUAUAUCUAACAGAGUGACAGUUAUCUUUAGUUUAAACGAUCGAGUGAGCUGUUAUUUAAGUUAAUCCUUCUAAGAGUUUUGACUAUUAUUUAUAGAGUUAAUGGUAAAAGUAUAUCUUAACUGUCACAUAUUUAUUAUUUACUUAUCUUAACCAUAUCCAUUAUUCUAUUUACUUAUCUAAAUUAUCGUCAUCUCAACUAUUACUUCCUUUGCAAUUAAACGUAAAUACACUUUGAUAAUGAUUGAUCCGCACACGCCUGUUGUUAAUUGGAAACAAAUAUUGAUCAACUCGGCAUUGAGGUAUGUUUAAUUGCAAAUAGACUAAUAGUUUAAACAACUAGGUAUAGAGAACAUUGGAUAGCUGAAGUAUCAAACUCGUAAAAAGAUGAUAGCUUGAUAUGUUUUUGACCAUUAACUUUUAUUUAUAGUAUUUGAUUUCGACUAUUUAUUUUGUGUAGGAGCAAGUCCCAGAUGAAUACCCAAAAACCUUUUAAAAUAUGAAGCACUAUCAAGGAGUGUGAUGAGAUGAAUGAAAAAAAUCUUGAAUUCGAAUCUUAUAAUAAAAAAAACUUUUAUAGAAAACGUCUCUCUUAAUGAAAUUUACAUGACAUGAAUUUAAAUUAGUGUAACUUAUAAACAAAAAUUUCAUCAAAGGAGAAUGAUUUUACCUGCCUUUCACGUUUCAAUGUAAUACCAAUUAUCGUGUAAAUAUAUACCUAACUAAAUUUACCAAACUAGGCCCUAAGAAUAAUUCAACCAAUCGUUUAAUAAUCAUGCUUUCAUGACCUAAUUAAUUCAGAUUUAUAUUAUGUAAGAUUCAUUAAAGGAAUAACCACUUUGAUCCCUAUCAAAAGUUUCUCAUUUUUUAGGAUUUGAACACUAAAUCAUUGAUUCUAGCAUUUGAAAUUCACCGAUUCAACUAAUUUUGAUUAGCACUACGUAGAGUUUAUUAAAAGGAAAAAUGCUUCCUAUGAAAAGUUUCUCGAUUCUCAGGGUUUGAACCAUGAAUCUCUGGUUCGAGUAUUCAAAAUUUACCAACCCAACUAAUUUAGAUUCGUACCAAUAGUUCCUCGAUUCCUAGAGAUUGAACCUUAAGGCCUAAACCUAUGAUUCUAAUAUUCAGAACUUAGUGACCUUAUUAAUCUAUUAAAGGAGAUAAGUUGUUUAUAGAAGGAAUUUCUUAAUUCUCAUGAUUCGAAUAUGAUACCUCUACUUGAAAGUCGAAAGAUCUUAUUUGUUCCACCAUACUCCUAUAUGAUUGUCAUUAUUCAACCUACUUAACUUUCAUAUUUAUCAUCAUUUUUUCACAUAACUAAUCAACAACUUGAUAUUGAAAGUUGAAAUAACCUCCCCUAACAUGGGUGGAAGUUAGUUCUAUAAUUAAACUACUCUAAGCAAACUCCUAUAAUUUGACAAUUAUUGCAAUCUAACAAAACCUAGACAAUUUAUGACAAUUAUUUCAUGACAAAUUAUGACAAUUAUUUCAUGAUAAUUUAAGGUUUUAAGUUCCAUCAUAAUAAAUCACAAUAAUUAAAUCAAGGGUAGUUAUCUUUUUUGUUUAUCGUUUUCCUUAGUUUUUCCUAUGGUGUAGAUAUUUUUAAAAAUAAUAAUAAUGCAAAUAUCAAUUUCUCCUUGAUUUGUUUAACCACAUUAUCAUAUUAAUUACUACAAAGAUUAAUCGAUGAUUUAUAAAUAAGUCACACAAUCUUAAGAAGUUAUAAAUAUACUAGACAAUUUUUUUCAAUUUGCUUAAAACCUUUAUGGGUAAAAUUAGUGAUGGAAAGUAGAAAAGAGUUAAUGGUCAAAAAUAUAUAUGAACUAUUAUUUGUUCUCAAGUUUCAUACUUUAGCUAUCUGUUAUUUUAUUUUCCUACCUGAAAUGUCACCAUCAUUUAUGUAGAAAAAGAGGAACAAUUAAUAAUUGUUAUGUAUUUUAAUACAUAUAUAGAUGAUAAUUUAAAUUGAAAAAAAAAACUUAUCGUUAGAAUGUAAAACUCGAAAAAGAAAAAGUAAUUUGACCAUUAUUUUACCCUACACAAAUAUAAAAAGAAAAAUUUCUCUAGUAAUUUGAUUUUCAAAAAAGAGCAAAGAGGGACAAUUUUUAAAUUUACCACCAUUGCUUGGAGACCAACUUCUCUAAAAGCACAUGCAAAUUCAGUACUUUUUAUUUUAUUUAUAAUAUAUUUAAACAUAAUUGUCAGUAGAAUAAUAAAAUAAUACCAAUACAAGAAAAGAAAAAGUCAACUAAUAUUUCAGAAAUCCUUAUGGCAAUCAAGAAAAUGCUUGACCCAAGAGGACAAUAAAAGAGGGGUAACAAGUCAAUCAAGAAUCAUCCAACUGAAAAAGUUCUGGACACAAGAAAACCAAUCAAUUUACAAAAUAAAUUAUUCAAAUAUUUGACUAGACACGAAAUUUAAGAAAAAAACGUAAGCUUCUAAACUUGUAAUAAACAAUUUGUUUGGCGAUGAAACCAACGCAUGCAAAGCCAAAUUCUUUAACCUAACAAUGACGAAAUGAGAAGAUGAGGUGCCUCAGGCAUCCGCACCCCUACUUAACAAGGGAUCAAAGGUUUUGGAAACAUAGCUUUCCUCACCCCUCUGAGUGGAGCAUGUUCUACUGAAAAUCGAGCUUGAAACUCUCACCUUUUAAUGAAAAUUUAGCAUAAACUAAAAAUAAAAUGUGUCAUAUCAAAGACAUAAGGAAUUAUAAUUUAUAGUAUAGUUCAAUAUUAGGAUGAAAAGACUACAAAAAACAGUGCUUAUACAGUACCUACUACAGUAUUACUCAUAGUAAUUUCCAUCUUUUCAAACUUUUUCCUUUUUUCCUUUUUCUGUGGGUGAUUCUGGACAAUAGUUUCUUGUAGGGGACUGUUUUUGUGAUGUUAUACAAAAAAUGGCCCACAGAUUCUAGAAAAUAAAGUUAUCAGAUGAUUGCACUAUCAAAUCUAUUUUCUUCACUAAGGUACAAUCCAACAGUUUCAUCUUUGUGAACCACAUCAUAUUUUAAUUUACAUAUAGCUCGGUGCACAAAACAUUUCAUAUUAGCAGGGUCCGGGGAAGGGCCACGCCUCAAGAGGUACAAUGUAGACAACCUACCCUAAUGCAAACAUUAGUGACUGCUUACACGAUCACACGGAGACAACUUUAUCGACUUCAUAUGUUAGUACUUAAUAAUACUCAAAAGAUCAUUGAUCUUUUCAUCCCAACUAUUGAUUUUCCUGAUUCAGGUCCAAUUUUCUUCUCUUGAUCCCCACCACCAAUGAUCUCAUCUUCCAUUUUGCCGUCAGUUUCUUCAUCUGGAGAAGCAACUCAGAAAUUAUUAAUAAUAUCAUAAUUCCCAAAAAGAAAAAUGAAGUCCAAAGGGGACAUAGUUGACAAUAUAGCUAUGUUGCUAGGUUUCUCCAAAAAUAUUGCCACCACGGUGUCGGAUCCUCCAAAAAGGCACUAUUUUUGGAGGAUCCGACAUGUGCUCGUCAACAGUUUUGAAGAGUCUAAGCAAACAUAGCAGUAUAGUAUGAUGCUAAAGCCAAAACUUGGAACUUUUUGGUCCUUGCUUUUCUGCUUUAGGAUUGAGAGUCGACCUCAACUAAUUUAGAAUCGAGAAAUAGUUGUUCCUAUAGUAGUUUUCUUUAUACUCCUUCGAUAUGUCGUUUAACGUUUGGCAUAUCCAAGAAAAUUAUUUGAUUAAUUAAUCAUAAGGGAUACAACAAAAACAACAACAACAUACAUAUCCGACCCAGUGAAAUACCACGAGUGGGGUUUGGAGAUGGUAGGAUGUAUGCAUGCCUUACCCCUACCUUUGUGGGGUAGAGAGGUUGUUUCCGAUAUAAUCACAAGGGAUAUUCCUUAAAACAAGUAUAAACGAUGAUAGGCCUUCUUAGUAUACAUCUAGAUUUAUGAGGGGCACUAGUUAGUAGUUAUUAUACUUUGGCACGAAAGAGAAGUAGUGAUACCUGAAGCAUUACCUAGGGAAAAUUCAGUAAGACGUCGGACACAAUCCUUGAGUGCUUGGAGCUCAGUUUCCUUCUCGUGGAGUUUCGAAUGAGUUUGGCGAAGCUCAGACUCUAACUCCACUAUCUGGCCUUCUUGUUGUUCAAUGAGCAGAUGACAAAGCUUUUGAUCCAGUUCAGAUGGCAAUACUCCACUGCAUUGAUAGGUUUCUGCAUUGCGGUCAUCAGCUUGGUUAAAUUCUUUCUCCAGAAAGUCAUCCUGUGCAGCAAAAGCCAAUAGUAAAACACUAGUUUGUGAAGCGGAACUAGAAGAUGGAAAAUCUUGUGUUAUCGACAUUUGCAUGUUCUGCAUUUAGCUAAUUGGUUAGAUGUUGGAGUUCCAAUGAUAGGUCUAAAUCAGAGAACAAAAUGUUCCAUGAACUUCGCUAUAAACCUCAAAAAGUGCGAACACAAAUAUUCCUAAUGCUAUAAGAAAAGUACCAGCACGGCCAUCUAUAGUUGCAAUUAAAUUCGAUUAAGAUAUUUAGGCCAUUAUGAGAAUGAUAAUCAACUUUACUAGUGUAAGAGAAGAAAUCCCACUUGAUUUGUUGUAACAUGGAUUCAUCCUUGUUAGGGAGCGCAUUGGGACUUCCCGGCACCAAUCGAGAUUUAGUAGGGCCCCAAUACAGGUACUGGACACCGGAUGAGAAACCAAAAAGAAAAAUGGAUUCAUCAUAGCCAUGAGGGGCUGUCCAACCAUUUCUAGUUAGAAAAAGUCCAAACAGCCUAACCUAAGAAUAACUUCCAAUUUUUGUUAAUGCUUAUGUGACUGUUUUAUCCAAAUUCAUGAUACCUCUUAACAAGAAUAACAUAAUGAUGUCCAUUUGGAUUGACCAAUUGCAAAUACUACUCUUUUCAGAUAUCACAUCGUUUUAGUCCAAACGCCUACUAAGUUACUACUUGAUAAGUAAAAAAAUAUACCGUUCAUCUGACCCUAUCACAAUUUGGUUAGUCAAAAAUUACCCUUUGACUAUGAUUUUUUCAAACAAUUUUUACACGUUCUAUGUUCAUGAAUUCUGACUUAGAAUUAUUUCUGAACAUGUAAAUUUUACAUAGAAACUUAAGGAACAGUUCUUUUUCAUACCGCAUCACUUUUUCUGGAUCGAGGCAGUAGUAUUGAUUUGUAUAUAACAACAUAUUACUUGCAUCAAGAUGAUGCUGGAAAGAUUUUUAGUAGAAUUUGUUUUAAAUGGACCCAACGAAAAUGUACUCAUUCACAAAUAUAGGUAAAUUAUUAAGAAGUUAGGAAACUACCAAAUUGUAGUGAAAACAUAGAGAUGGAAAAGAUAUGCAGGGUAGUCAAGAUCAUAUAGAGGAAAUUUAAUACACAAUGAGCUCACCUGACAAGGAUCUCUUCCUCCAUUCAAAUCCGUAUCUUCUGUAGAACACCAUGGAAGCUUUAGUAACUCGGAUUCGAGCUCAGCUUCCAGCUGAUCCAUUUCCAUAACCUCAGGUUGUAGCUCUUCUGUAACGACACUGCUUGCACAUUCACCUUCCUCAGCCACUUGGAGAUCUAGUGCUCUAUAAAUAUUCCUGUUUUCAUUGUUACUCUCAGCAAUUGCAUGUAUUCUACAUUCUCUAUUAUUCUUUUCAUCUAUGUCGCCUUCAUUCUUCGAAGCACACAGGUUAUGUGCAACUCUUUUCCUAGAAAGUUCAGCUUUUAAUUCCUCUACAGCUUUUGCAGUUUCAUCCAUGGUAGUGUUAAGCCUAUUGAUCUCAGAUUUCCCAGCUGACAUCAUGCACAUCAUUCCAAUUCCGAGUCCAUAACCAAAAAAUGAAUUCCCUGGAAGAUGUAAAGCACAUUAAGAAAGGGAAUCUAAAAAAAAUGCAUAGGGCAGCAAAUGAUAUAUAGGUUCACGGUUCACCCAGUGUUAUCAAAGGCGCGCUUAAGCCCUGAAGCGAGGCUCAAAAUAUUUUGAGCGCUUCGCCUGGCUUUAUGUGCGCUUCAGUGUCUUCAUGAAGGUUCUAAGACAUACUUUUCCUUGCCAAUGAGCAGAAGUGACACUAAACAAUUGAUAUGUCACUUUAUCAUAAUUUUUUUUAAAAAUUUCUUUGGUCAUAUAUUUGUCAUUCAUGUUUAUAAUUAUUAGACUUGGACUAAACAUAUAUAUUUGUGGUUUUUUCUCCCUUUGCGCCUUUUUUCAUUAAAGCCCACACUUUAUUUGCGUUUUGCGCUUAAAGCCCCCACGGACCUUAGAGCCUUUUUGCACUUUUCGCCUUUGAUAACACUGGGCUCACCUACUUGGAGCAACUUAAUAUAAGAGAUAAUAUUCACUCCAAUAAGACUAUCAAAGUAACAUACACAAGUAGAAAAUUUAGAACUAAACAGGAAGAGUAACUAUUCUUUUACGUCAUCAAGUCCAACCAAUAAGAUAGUAGUAGUAUGCAUCGAGCUUAUUUAAACUGUUGUUUCUUUUACAUUGAUCAUCUUAACUAUUUCCGCUGUCAAUAUUCUUCUUUUCUAUGAUAUUUUCAUCUCAGCUUCUUUAUUCUUGUAUUUUCCAAACCUGUUUUGUAAAAUGUUUUUUCUUGAACCGAGGGUUUAUUGGAAACCACCUCUCUACCCCUCAAAGGUAGGGGUAAGGUCUAUAUAUACCUCACUUGUGGAAACACACUAGGUAUGAUAUUGUUGUUGUUGUAGUUUGCAUCGAGCCAUGACAGGAUACCAGCUGACCAGAGAAAGUAAAUACAGUGAUGAAAGACAGUUCCAUAAGUGGCAUUCUAUACUAAUUGUCUCGUUCCCACCCUUCAAUGCACCCAUCCCCACUCUUCCCCCAUAGCCCCCAUCCCUACCACCCCAGACCCCGUCCGACAACCCCAUCUGCUAUAUUGUUUGCCUAAAUUACAUAUAAAUGACUUGUGAUGAUAUAUUUGCUUACUUACCAAGCACAAAAGACUAGUAAGCAGACUGCUUAUUUUCCAAGAAAACAUUUUCCUUCGUACCAAACGCACCCUAAGAUACUCUUUUUUUUAUCAACACAACAGUUUUCUGUAAAAAUUACCAAAAGACUUAAACAGUAUAAAGCUCUCUUUCAAUUAGCAAUCUGAAAAUCCCAAAAGCGAAUCCAAAUGGAAGCAUACUUGUUCCGCACAUUCAUUGGUAUAAGUAAACCUAGCAAUUUUUGACAAGAUAUGGUUUUGCUCUCAACAUGAGAGAGCUAAUGUUUUGGAGCUUUAUACUUAUUGGGAUCUGGCAUCUUACUGCUUAAUUCCACAAUCAGGUGAAAAGUUGUUUUGAUUCCACCAGCAGUUGACCGAGCUAUUUAACAGGAAAAAGAAAUGGUGUCUGGUUAUUGAAUCAAAAUGCAGAUUAUCAUCUUCUCUAUGGUACUAUUGGUCAGACUCAUUUAACACAGGACACGAGAAAACCUCGCCAACCCCAUUCAAAAGAAAAAUUAAGACAUAGAAGAUGAAUAGGAGAGUAGAUCACAUAGCUAAAACAUAAAUUGAACAUUUAGUGAAUUUAAUAUAUUGCAAAAGUAACAUUAUCGGUAUAUAUGAUGACUAUGCUAAACAAUGUACAAAAGCUACUCUGCUGAUGCACCAUUGCACUAGUGUAACUCUUCUCUCAAAAUUUUGCUAAAGGUAAAUAAAUAGUCAUACUACUUGAAGCCACCAUUCUUUAGCUUCAGGCCCCACACCUUUGAACGCGAUUAAUAUAGGACGGUUGAAAACCUCUCCAUCUGAUUAUGGAAGUUGUAAUUCCAAUUUGAGUUUUUCACAUCUCUUUUUAUUGGUUUCCAACCUAGUGUCCGGUACCUACAUUAGAGCCCCCGAGUAAAUCUGGAUUCCAUCCGAAAAGUCCCACAUUGGGGGUAAAGCGCUCCCUAACAAAGGCGACUCCAUACCUAUGCAAGACUAAUUUUCUACUUACAUUCCAUAACAAACACAAUUAUCAACCAACACAUUCAAAAUUAGAGUGUCAUGAUGUUUCUAUGAACAAACGAUAGUGGACUUGAGAGCAACAUUAGCUAAAUGAGAAAUUGUGAUCCACAAUUAAAUUGAAACACAGUCCCUACCAAAGCAUACUAUUGCAUUAAAGUGACAGAAAAGAAAAUGUACAAUAUAUAUAUAUAAUAUUUUAGAAAGUUUACCUUUGGAAGCACAAGAAUCACAUUUCCCUGAAGGAACUUUAUUAGUUCUCCUCUUCUUUAAACAAACAUAAAAUCUCUUCCCAUUCCUUCUCUUCCUCUGAUCCAACCUAACCAAUUCCUUUUCACCACUCCUCACAUUUCCACAUUUUCCCCCUAAUUUCCCACCACUUUUUCCCUUCCACUCCAUCACAUUCCCUUUGGUCUUUCUAGAACCUUCCACAUUUUUCUUCCUCAAUUUCCUAAACCCCAUUUCAGAACCAGAAGCACUUGAAAACCUAAAAAUUGACCCAUCAAAAAACCCCUCACACUUUUCUUGAAUGUUACAGCCAAGAUUACAUACAAAGCUUGAAUCUUUAUGCUGAAAGGGAGUGUUAAGCCCUUCUGGAUCAAAGGGUUUAUCAAAAUUACUGAUAAAGAUUGAAUCUUUAUGCCCUUGUGGGUUAAAGGGUUUAUCACAUAUACUGGUAAAGAUUGAAUCUUUAUGCUGAAAGGAAGUCAUAAACUCUUCUGGAUCAUUGAGUUUAUCACAUUUACUGUCACUUGCAGUGGAACCAGAGAUGGGUUCAGUGGCAUUUUGGUUAAAGAUUUUCUUGGCUAAAAAACCAGAUCCUGCUGCUGCUGCAACUACUAAAGCUGGCCACAUUUGGGUGUUUUUUUCUCUCAAGAUUUUAGACAAGGGGUUUAAGAUUUUGAACAAAAUCAGAAACUAGAGAGAUCACAUUCAAAAAUUGCUAGUAAAUGUUGUUGCAGUUCAUAAUAAUAACCAAGUGAAAGUGACAAGCUUUGAAUUUUGUCUAUGUGACAUGUGGUGGGGGCUGGGGGUGGGGGUAUACGUGGCUUCUCAUAUAAAGUUUGCUCACGUGCUUCCCGCUUACUUAUAAUUUUUUCAAUUUUUUGUGGUCUUUGGUCUUUUAAGAAGGCCUAAAGAUGGAGAUUUUGGGCCAAUUUACAAAGGCCUAACCCAUCGGUGGCCCCCUAAACUUGGCACGAUCUUUCACUUAGACACCUCAACUGAAGGAUUUUCAUUUUAAACACCUAACGUAGGGUUCCCAUGUGUUACUUUAACACUUUUUACACAGACAUCUGUUGACUAUAAGCGCGUGCAAGACAACCGUUCUACGUGGAUUAACUGACCAAUUAUAUGAUGCCAACUCUUAAACCUCUUUACACGUCGUUUUUUUUCAAACUAAAAGAAAAAUGGAACCAUUUUUGUGAUUUUUCAACUUCCUUCUUACGAUUCUCUCUCUUCUCCGAGAAAACCCUAGGUAAAUCUCCCUUCUCGUCACAUGUAUUUCUUUGUUUUUUCUUCAAUUCGUUGUUAGUAAUAACCAUUGUUGUAUUUUAUGUCGCCAUUUUUCAGGUUUAAGGUUGUAUUGACGAGGUAUCGGGCUGUGCGACAUUGGAGAAAUUGAAGAAAUUAAAGGUAAUGGUGUGUUUUGUUUUCUACCUUUGUUUUUGUUUUCUUCAAGAAGGUGUAUAUUGUUGUUGAAGGUGUAUAUUGUUGUUGAUUCCACUUUUUUUAUUUUCAGUUUUAAUAUAGGUUUUGGCUGGUAAAGUAAGGGGCUUUUUGGGUAUUUCCUUUUAUUGGGGUCUUCUUUUCGAGAUAUGGACAGCUAUAUUUUAACUUGUUUUCAUCAUGGGGGGUGUGUUGUUGGAAACCCUAACCCUACUUACCAACGAGAAGUAGAUGUAUUUGGUGUUGGCAUAGAUAAAGACCAUUUUAGUCUUGUCGAGUUUCUUUCCUACACUAAAGACCUUGGGUAUACAAAUGUGAAGGGAUUUUACUGUGAAGAUAACAAUGAAUUAGUUCAAGUUACUUCUGAUACUCAAUUGUUAGAAUUUGUGAAAGACUUGGUAGAUGGUGAUGACUGUUGAUGAAUCUGUGGGUAUAAAUACUGAGGGAACUGUGGAGAAUGAUUCUGAUUUGAAUGGAGUUGAUACAGAAUUGCCUGGAGGUGAUACAAAUCAAAAUGAAGUUGAAUCAGAUCUGCCUAGUAGUGACACAGAUGUAGAUGUUAUUCCAGAUGAAGAUGAUUCAGAUGUUGAUGAAGAAUUGAGAUCCCUUAGGGCUGAAAGGAGAAACAAAAGAAAUCCUAAUCUUAGGAAGAAAAGAGAUAGGGAGAAGAAAACAAUAACUAAAGAGGUACCAAUAGGUGAGGCUGGUGUGGAUAGAGGUUUUGAAGAUAUUGGAAUAAAUAAAAAGGAUAGAUAUGUUGGCAGAUUGGGAGGAGAUGAGAAGUAUAUUGAUAUCUCAGAAUGUGAUAGUGAUGAUAGCACUGAUAUACUAGAUGCAGAAGCUGUUGGAGGUGUUGAUCUACCAGGCAGAAGAAAGAGCAAAAAGGUCAGGUAUGAUGAUCAAUGUACUGUUGCUAUUUUUGAACUUGGAAUGAUUUUUGAGAAUGCUAAGGAAUUUAGAAAGGCUUUGGCAAAAUAUGCUGUUGAAAAAAAUUAUCAGAUUAAGUUAAGGCCUAAUGAAGCUCAUAGAGUGAGAGCUAAAUGUAAAUUCAAAGAAAAAUGCAAAUGGUUGUGCUAUGGUGCUAUUGAUAGGGAUUCUGGUAACUUUAUGAUUAAAAAUUAUUAUCCUAUACACAAGUGUUUACCUUCAAAUAAGAACAAAAUGUGUACAACUAAGUUCCUAGCAAGUAGAUUCAAGGAUGAAAUAACUAAACAACCAUCUUUGAGGAUUUGGGAAAUACAAGAAUUGUGCAGGGAGGAGUUAGGACUAAAAGUGGGUAGAACAAUUUGUUACAAAGCAAAGAUGAUGAUUCUUAGAGAAAACAUGGGUGACUGGAAUAUGGAAUUUGCAAGGUUAUGUGAUUAUGCUGAAGUCAUAAAACAAACCAAUCCUGGUAGUUCUGUUUGGGUAAGGAUGGAUAGAGAAACUAUACCAGGAAAGAAUUUGUUUGUGUACUUCUAUGUAUGCUUGGAUGCAUUGAAGAAAGGGUGGAAGGAAGGAUGUAGAAGAAUAAUAGGAUUUGAUGGAUGUUUCUUAAAGGGUGCUUGUAAGGGUGAACUUCUUGUAGCAGUUGGAAGAAAUGGAAACAAUCAGAUGUUUCCUAUAGCCUGGGCAGUUAUGGACAAGGAGACUAAACAUUGCUGGAGUUUCUUUAUCAACUACUUGAAAGAGGACCUGCAGUUGGGUACUGGACAGGGUCUUACUGUAAUGUCAGAUAUGCAGAAGGUAAUUGUCUAUUACUUUGAUAAUUGUAGAUAUGCAGAAAUGUAUUUUCUUUCUUGAAUUGUAUUGAAUUCUAUUUUAUUGUAGGGUCUUCAAGCAGCUGUUGGUGAACUGCUGCCAAAUGCUGAAGUUAGAAUGUGUGCUAGACACAUCUGGUCUAAUUGGAGUAAAAGAUGGAAGGGAGAGGAAAGGAGAAAACAAUUCUGGAGAUGUUCNNNNNNNNNNNNNNNNNNNNNNNNNNNNNNNNNNNNNNNNNNNNNNNNNNNNNNNNNNNNNNNNNNNNNNNNNNNNNNNNNNNNNNNNNNNNNNNNNNNNNNNNNNNNNNNNNNNNNNNNNNNNNNNNNNNNNNNNNNNNNNNNNNNNNNNNNNNNNNNNNNNNNNNNNNNNNNNNNNNNNNNNNNNNNNNNNNNNNNNNNNNNNNNNNNNNNNNNNNNNNNNNNNNNNNNNNNNNNNNNNNNNNNNNNNNNNNNNNNNNNNNNNNNNNNNNNNNNNNNNNNNNNNNNNNNNNNNNNNNNNNNNNNNNNNNNNNNNNNNNNNNNNNNNNNNNNNNNNNNNNNNNNNNNNNNNNNNNNNNNNNNNNNNNNNNNNNNNNNNNNNNNNNNNNNNNNNNNNNNNNNNNNNNNNNNNNNNNNNNNNNNNNNNNNNNNNNNNNNNNNNNNNNNNNNNNNNNNNNNNNNNNNNNNNNNNNNNNNNNNNNNNNNNNNNNNNNNNNNNNNNNNNNNNNNNNNNNNNNNNNNNNNNNNNNNNNNNNNNNNNNNNNNNNNNNNNNNNNNNNNNNNNNNNNNNNNNNNNNNNNNNNNNNNNNNNNNNNNNNNNNNNNNNNNNNNNNNNNNNNNNNNNNNNNNNNNNNNNNNNNNNNNNNNNNNNNNNNNNNNNNNNNNNNNNNNNNNNNNNNNNNNNNNNNNNNNNNNNNNNNNNNNNNNNNNNNNNNNNNNNNNNNNNNNNNNNNNNNNNNNNNNNNNNNNNNNNNNNNNNNNNNNNNNNNNNNNNNNNNNNNNNNNNNNNNNNNNNNNNNNNNNNNNNNNNNNNNNNNNNNNNNNNNNNNNNNNNNNNNNNNNNNNNNNNNNNNNNNNNNNNNNNNNNNNNNNNNNNNNNNNNNNNNNNNNNNNNNNNNNNNNNNNNNNNNNNNNNNNNNNNNNNNNNNNNNNNNNNNNNNNNNNNNNNNNNNNNNNNNNNNNNNNNNNNNNNNNNNNNNNNNNNNNNNNNNNNNNNNNNNNNNNNNNNNNNNNNNNNNNNNNNNNNNNNNNNNNNNNNNNNNNNNNNNNNNNNNNNNNNNNNNNACAACAUCAAAAUACUACUAGAUCGAACACCAAAUACAACAUCAAAAUACUACUAGACCAAACACCUGAAGAUCACUAACAAUUAGACUUCAAUUUCCAUAUUCCAAACAUCAGCAACCCAGUAGCAACGACACCAACAAUAAAUAUAUUUUUUGCUCGCUUUAAUUUUUUCAUCAAAAGCAUUGACUUUCUUCAACAAUCCCCACAUUACCCUGUUUGCUUGUGGAGAGUGUCGAUCUUCAUACCAAAGAAAAUAGUCACAACCACCCAUUUUCUAUAAAACCAAUCAAAAAGAAUUAGACGCUAACAAUUAAUCAUCUAAUUGACUUGAAAAAAAUAAGGGAACAAAGAAUUUUACCUUUGAAAUUCUACAAGUAAAAAAUCUACGCCCUGGAUUUAAUUGGGUCCAUGAAGUCUUUAAUAGUGCUUCAUUACCACACCUACAAUAUCGACCUUCAUCCACAGAUGCCAUGGAAGAAUUGGAGAAGCUCGACAUGAAAUUAUUAAGGGCCAAGAAUUAAAGAAAGGCUGAAGAAGAGAGAAAUUGGAAAAGAAUAGACAAAUUGGGGUCUUAGUUAUGGUACAAUUGGAGAAAAAAUAAUAUAAAUAGAUGAUAUGGAGUAAUAUUACCGUUGGGGACGCCACAUCAGACGAAAAUUUGAUGUUUACGCGCCUUGAAUGAGUGAAAAUCACGCGACACUCCACCUGUGUAAAAAGUGUUAAAGUAACACAUGGGAACCCUACGUUAGGUGUUUAAAAUGAAAAUCCUUCAGUUGAGGUGUCUAAGUGAAAGAUCGUGCCAAGUUUAGGGGGCCACCGAUGGGUUAGCCCAUUUACAAACAAUCCAUUAAGAAAACCUCUAUUGCAGGCAUGGUAUGGUAGAUAUCGAAUAUCAUGGUGAAAUUGAAAUUUUUAAUAUUGUGAUUUGAGUUUUAUAAUAUUUGAUAUGGUAUCUUAUAUGUGUUUAUUUUAAAAUUUUAGUAUUUGGUAUUUAUAAAAAAAAAUACUGAAAUAUCGUAUCGAAAUAUAUAGUUACGUAUAAAAUUCAUAUAUAUAUAUAUAUAUAUAUAUAUAUAAAACUAAUUAUUUAGAUGUUGAAAUUUUGAUUAGUCUGUCUUGAUUUAUAUGUACUUUUUGGGUGAGUGAUUGAGAGAGUUGUUUGUACUUUAUUUUUGAAUAUUUUUACAUGUAUAAGGUAUUAGUAUGAUACAAUUGAGAUAUUUCUUGAAAAGCCCUUUCAUAAUUCUUUAUUACACUAAUAUAUGUAAGUUGAAGACUUAAAGUUGACCAAACUAUGGUAACCGAUUUACCGUAUAAUAAAAUAUCAAAAUCAAACUUUAAAAACGGUAAGGUUUUCAAUACCGUACCACGCCCACCCCUCUCCAUUUGUGGUGUUGGUUAAUUUAGCGGGGUUCAAGUAUAGAUUUUGGACAAAUAUGAUUUUCAAAUGUUUUAAGCUUUGAAAUAUAUCUAGCUAGAAUUCAAAUAGAUCUUGCUAUAAAUAUAUUUUCGAUAAAUGUUACUCCUAGACUAUGCCUUGGAGUUCAAUGAAAAUUGUGAAGUUUAAACUUAUAAAAACGAACUCAAACUUUUUAAGAACUCAUAAAAGUUGAAAUUCAAACCGUCAGUUUUAACUCGAAGAACACUUUAUGGGGUCUAAUAUUUCAUGUUAGCAUUGAAAUUUAAAGAUUUUUAUGUUAUAGUAUGAUCAUGUCACCGUCUAAACGAUACUUCAACAAUUAAAAAAUUAAAUUAAAUUAAUUUUCAAACGUAGACUAAAGUUUGAUUAACCGUUCAAAAGGUGGAUACUUUCCCAUUUCUCCCUUUCUAAUGGUACCUGAGAUUUUUGCUUUACCUUUACAUAGUAAAUGUCAUUCAAUACAUACAUGCGAUAAGAAUAUUAAUCUCGAGAUUAUAUUUAAGAUUAACUUGGUCCAAAUUUAAUUUGAGGUAUCAGUUAAUCCCGCAAUUAUCAUCUCAUAUAGAAGGUGAGAUAAAACAAUCUCAUGAAAAAUCUUGCUCAUCUCAUCUCACAUACCAAACGACUCAUAAAAGAGAUGGACAUGCAAGUAAAUUAAAGGAAAAAACUACAGAGCAAGCAAUUCCUUGCAAAAUGAGAGCUAUAACUGCAUGACCAGAUCAUAUUAUAAAAACACAACACAUCAUUAUUUCAGUAUGAAGAAAAAAUAGAAUUUCUUACUAAAAUAUUGGUCCAAAUUACUAUAUAUUAAAACAAAAGGCAGCUCUCAUCAAACUUUGACUAUUUUUUACUCCAAAAGAAUUUGCAAAGAGUGUAGGAGCAAGUACACUAUAUCUUGUAGUAACUAGUUACCUGUUAUACUUUCCUUCUUGAUCCAUUUACAAACAUUUUAAAAAACAUAAAUGGCACUUCAAAACUAGAAAGAUGUCCAAGUAAAGUAAGUAGCGAUAAACAACGUCUAAGAAGUACGUGAACCUCCAAACCAUCAAAUCCGAGUUGGUCAAGCUGGUUCAACAUCGAGUUCCACUCUAUUGGAAUAUCUGCAACAGUCAAAAGGAGAAAGAAUCAAAG